rnacentral:ncRNA from 2 species
UUUCAAGUAAUCCAGGAUAGGCU